UGUUCCUGUGUAAGCUUUGUCUUGUUUUUUAAACCUGCAUUAUUACUGACAGUAGAUCCCAGAGAUCCCAUGCAUUGUUAACUACUAUCGUUUUCUGUCAAAAAGGGUCAUGAAUACCAAGUAAAUGCUGGUGAAUGUUGUGGAAAAUGUGUCCAGGUGGCCUGCGUCAUCACCCUUAAUGACACUGUUGAGCUGCUCAAGCCUGGUGAUAUUUGGCACCCAAAAACAAAUAACUGCACUUUCUAUGAAUGCGAGGAAAUUAGCGACACACUGGUUUUGGUUAAUACUGUAAGAAAAUGCCCUACCUUUGACCCAAAGGAGUGUGGACCUGUUGGAGUGGAGCUGACACCCGAUGGCUGUUGUCAAAAAUGCAAACCUCAACGUAAGUCACGUUGCUUAUCUUCAAAUAAAGGAGUUGGAACUGGGUGACUAGGACUUUAUGAGAAAAGGCUAUCUAAUUCUCUGCCUAACUCCACAAACUCUAUGCUUGGCUGGGAUGCAUCCUCUUUCAGUCAUCCCUUGUACACAAUAGAGGCAAAAUGUCGCUGGAGGUUCCAAACCAUCUUUAGUUCAGUUCCCCAUUAUUGGAAUGUUCAUGUUUAUGAACAAGUUUAUGGAUGCUUUAAUUCAUAUGUUCCUGAAACAUCCCUCAAUUAGCACAUAGGUAGGAUGUGAUCUGUUACCAAAGAGUGAACAGUAAUAAAUUAGCAUUGCAUACACCCGUGUAGCUCUUU
rnacentral:lncRNA from 1 species